rnacentral:rRNA from 1 species
CUGAUUAGCUAGUUGGCGGGGUGAAGGCCUACCACGGCUUUGAUCAGUAGCUGGUCUGAGAGGAUGAUCAGCCACACUGGGACUGAGACACGGCCCAUACUCCUACGGGAGGCAGCUGUUAGAAAUUUUCCGCAAUGGGCGAAAGCCUGACGGAGCAACGCCGCGUGAGGGAUGAAGGCCUCUGGGCUGUAAACCUCUUUUAUCAAGGAAGAAGAUCUGACGGUACUUGAUGAAUAAGCCACGGCUAAUUCCGUGCCAGCAGCCGCGGUAUUACGGGAGUGGCAAGCGUUAUCCGGAAUUAUUGGGCGUAAAGCGUCCGCAGGCGGUCUUGUAAGUCUGUCGUUAAAGCGUGGAGCUUAACUGCCAUUUAGGCGGUGGAAACUACAAGACUAGAGUGUGGUAGGGGAAGAGGGAAUUCCCGGUGAA